CGUUAAUGACCCGCUGAUCGCUGUCAGAUGCUGUGAUAUGAAUGUCCGCAUUGCAUUGUGGCUAAUGGGCUUAGAAUGAGCCCCGCUCGGCCCGUGUUCUGGCUUACUGUAAUAUUUCGCCGGUAAUAAGACCGAAAUAAUAUUAUUAAAAUAAAGAAAUGAAUGAAUACAAUGAUAACAUCUAAAUAAAUGUCGAUAGAUGUAGCGUUAUAGUUUUAAAAAUAUCAAUAAACAGCAAAGCAAUCCAGCUUCGAAAUAAUAACCGAAAAAGACCGAAAUAAUAAUUCAUAAUUAAUAUACAGCGCCGCCACUCCCACCACGCGCAGUGCGUAGGGCACCGACUUGCUGAGGGGGCACCAAAAAUAGCCUAAUGAAAAAUCAAUAAUCAUAGUCAAUAAUUAUAAUGCCGAUAUUAUUUCAGUAUAUAUUAUUAGGCACCUUUCAGGCAUAACAAGAGUGUUUAAUUGCUCUAGAGAUGGUGCCCCCGGUGCUCCGUUGGAUUGCGCAAUUUGCGCAGCACCUGACGAAGUUUGACUUUGACAGUAGGAGGUAUAUAAAAGACUGGCAAACUGUCUUUAUGUUUAAAAUCAUAAAGGAAUUAUGGUUAGGGCACCAAAAUGGCUAGCAGCAGCACUGCACAUAUAAACCGUGAUAAGAUCUCGUGAAUAAAUGUUGAUUAAACAGCUUCUCUGCUGCAGCCCGACUGGCAGAAAGAAUCGUGCUGUUGCACGAAAGAUGCAUCCAAUUGAAAUGCAUUAGUUUAAAAAACGUGCUGGACUUACGAAAAUAACGAAAUAAACAUGUCCCUGCCACCAGGCCCGGAUUAACACAGUGUAGUGCCCUAGGGUGACCACAUUUGAAGUGAUAAUUAAUUUAUAAAUUAAUUUAAUAUCACAUUUACAAACACCUUUAAUAAUCUUUAAAAGCUGUUACUCACUUCAGCAAUCUCACAAAACUCCAUUAUAAUCACUGAAGCUCUCUACACUGCACAACGAAUCUCUUAUUUACACCAUCUACACUUUGUUUGUUAUAACGAGAGCAUUUGUGAGCUUGCAUAACUCAGCAAUGAACAAAAGUAUUUUGAGCAGUGAGUGGAUUCUGAUUAACAUUGCAUUCAAGGAAUCAACAUAUGUCUGCGAUACAUUAGGCCCACUCACCGCUGCACAAACACGCAAGUAGAAAUCUUUGAAGCUCCUCUCAGCGCAAACACAAAUAGCCUGUGCUGAUCGGGUUAGUCAUACAGGUGCUCCUAAAUAUGUUUUGAUAGUCGCACACAGUAGCUACUUUUCAGUCGCCCUGUAUAGCCCUGGCUAUGUGUCAUGAUAUUUUCUCUUCUUUUUUUUUUUAAUUUACGUUUAGCACAACCGCCAAGUCGAUGCUGCCUAUCCAUUUGUGAAUAAAUAUGCUCGACUCUGACUGGGGGGAGGGGGCAAAUACACUGGGACCUGACCCAAUCGCAAUUCUUUAUAUGCGUGCAUAUAUUUGAUAUUCUCUCUGUAUAUUGUAUCAUUAACUGUUCAUUUUCUGUGCAUCUGUAUCUCUUCCAGCAAAAUAAUAUAUACAAAACAUGAAAAAAUAUUUUAAAGGUCUUGUCAUUAUCGUAAUCACUUGGUGCCCCCCUAUUGCCUGGUGCCCCAGGGCACUCGCCCAAUCCCGUCUAUGGAUAAUCCGGCCCUGCCUGCCACGAAUAAAUAGAUUAAAUUACGUGACUAAAUCGCGAACUGCCGUGAGACCGGGUUGUGUUGUACAUACAGGAUUGAGUCCAAAGUGUUUGUUACAUCUUCUAGUUAAAUGUGACAUUGUUGCCAUUAGCUAUAGAAUUGAGCAUAGUACAAACCAGGAAGGCAUCAGGAUUGAGUUUUUUUUGUUUUUUUUGAUUAAUCACUUGGAUUAAUCAUUAAUUUUGACAGCACUAAUGUUUAUUGUAUAUAGACAACCAUACAAGGGUAAUUGUUAAUUAAACUAAGCCUGCCCUGGGUACAGCAAUUUUCUUGUCCGUUGCCCUCACAGAUUCCUGCAGCUAAGCUUGGGUGUACAUUUACAUUCCAAUAAAGGUUAUUGAUGACAUGCCUCUGAAAUUUGACUUUUUGCACCAUUACAAUACUUAUAGGCAACUAGUCAUCAUAUCUUCUGCUCCAUGAAACAUGUUAAUGCUCAGUAGUACACAUAUAUGGUUCUUUAAUGUAUUUGCAUUGUACUAAAAUGCGUAAUAUAUAUAUAUAUAUAAAGGCAUAUAUGCGGCUGAAACAGGUAGCUUAGUGCAUCCCAAAUUUUUCAACAUUAACAUUUUAAUAUAACAUUAUAGUCAUUAUGGCCUUUAGAAAAAUGUUUUUUUGAGGAGGUGGGGUAGUGCACAAUAGGCCCCUGUGGCGCGACCUAAGCUUUUGUCCUUAAUGGCAUUUUUUUCCUUACAUUACUUUUACUUUUAUACUUUAAGUAGUUUUGAAACCAGUACUUUUACACUUUUACUUGAGUAAAAAGCUUGAGUUGAUACUUCAACUUCUACAGAAGUCUUUUUAAACCCUAAUAUCGAUACUUCUACCUGAGUAAUGAAUGUGAAUACUUUUGACACCAGUGGAUCUUGUCCACAGGAGUCCCUGCAGUUAUUGUUGGAGGCUUGCUGUUCGCAGUUAACAGCAUUUAUGGUAUAACUGAGAUAACAUUUUCUGAUACGAAUGCAAAAAAUAACAUUUGCUGGAUCAGAGACUCUCGUGUCCUGUAUGGCGUGAACAUUUUCUACUUCACCGUCGUAUUCCUGUUCAACUUAGCAAUCCUAAUCACAGUGUCCAGACAGAUCUUCAAGCUACGACAUGUGGGCAACAGACAUGACAAGAUGCCAGUUUGGAAGGAUGCUGGCACAGUUUUGGGCCUCAUGUGUCUGGUGGGUAUAACAUGGGGUUUGGCCUUCUUCGCCUCUGGAUAUACCAGCUACCCGAUACUCUACCUAUUCUGCAUCUUAAACACAAUGCAAGGGUUUUACAUCUUUUUGUGGAUGUGUGGUACAGCGAGGAAAAACAGAGCGCAAACACCUCAUUCCAAGUCUAAAUCCACUCUGGAGAGCUCCAAAUAAGAUCCUCUCUCGCCGUUUUCUUACUAAACCCUCUGACAUGAUUUUACAAGAAGACAUCUUCCAGCUGACCCACAGAAAUGCCCCUGGGUUAAUGAAAAUGACAUUUACACAACAGGCAAACAAAAAAAAUGGCAUUCUUGAGA